ACUUCCCUCAGCCUGUAGAACUUCCGGCAGCAACUGCAAUUAGGGGUAGUCCAGUGCUAAAUUGUCGCAGCCUUGAAAAUAUUCUGCUUCGUUAUUUCGGGCACUCCACAGAUUCUGUUGCGAAGGCAGCCAUCUUUAGUUCGUCUUUCCUAGAGAGCGUUGAGAAGAUUCUGCUCCAUUUUUUCUGAUUAUGGAUUCUGUUCAGAAGGAAGCCGAAUUUUAAGUCAUCGUUCUAGGAUAGAUUCAGCUCCAUUUUCUCUGGUGGUAGAUCUCCAUGGAUGCUAUUGAGAAGGUACUUCUCAAAGUCCACGAGGACAAGGACAUCUUUCCACCGAAUGCCACCUGGUUUAUAACAAAAGCAUACCUGCCAUGCAAGAAAUGUGAAAAGUUCUUCGGAGAGAAGGAAAAUUAUAUAGGUCAGAAACUGAGACCUACAUAAGGAAAGAAGAGCAUUGGAUGAAGAAGAAAUAAAUAAAGAUGCAAUGGAUUAAGACUCUUGACUAGAAUAAUCUGAAGCAUUCUGCGUGAAUUUGUGACCAAAGAAACCAAAAAUCAGGCUACCUUUGACAAUGUCAAAUUACAGUGAACUGUGGAGUCGAUUAUACCUCUCAUAUUUCUUUAUUAUGUUAAAUGCUUAAUUAUUUGCUUGAUUCUGUCUUUGUCAUAGUCCUUUAUUACAAUGACGUCUUAUUUAAGUAAAAGAAUUCCAAAUACAUAGAAAACAAAAGCAUUUGUUUUAUUUCAAAAUAAUGAAGAAACAUAAUAGGUUAUACAACUUUUCAAGAGACCAUUAUGCUGUUAAAUCAUUUAUAUAUCUUCUCUUUAUUUGGACUCAGAAAAUAUGGACAUUAUAAUGCAAAAAGUUACUGAAAAAUCAAUGUCAGCAUCAUCUGAACUCUUUUCCCCUAAUCUAAUCUAGGCAUUUGGAUUACCCAUUUCUAAGCACAUCAGUGGUUUUUGAAUGUCAGUAGCACCCUGCUUAAUCAAUAAGCCUUUAUUUGGCUCAAUGAACUGCUGAUACGUACUUUUACAUAUUCAAAAUCUGUCCCUCAGUAUGGAUACUAACUAGAUCUUUUUUGAAUGAGAAGGUCAGGUCAGGCUCCCCCUUGGCAAUGAUACCAGCUCCCUCAGAUUCUCAUUAAUGGAACCAUGUGCUCACUGAACAAAGAAUGCUUACAGAAAAAAAAAAGAAUAUUGACGUCAGUGUAUAUUAUAUUCCUUAAAAAUAUUUAUAAACGAGCAUUCGUUAUAGAAGCAAGGAACAUGACAGCUUAUUGAUUAUGCAAAUAUGUUCCUUGUACGCUUUUAAAAUAAAUCAAUUAGUGCAAGAGUUGGCAAAGUCUUCCUUAAAGGGCAAGAUUAUUAAAAUAUUAGGCUUUGCUGGCCAUUUGGUCUGUCACAACUAAUUAACUCUGCUGUCGUAAUGGGAAAACAGCCACAGACAAUAUGUGAAAUAAUGGAUGUGGCUGUAUUUCAAUAAAACUUUGUUUAGAGAAACAGGUGGUGGGACAGUGUGUUGAUCCCUGAACUAAUGGGAUAAAAUAUAACUUAAAUAUAAUAUGCAUGUAUGUACAUAUGUUUCUGUUUACAAAAUAGAAUUGAGUGUCUCUUUCAGCUAAUUGAGCACCAUAAUGUAAACCUACAAGAGGUACGAGAGAAUUUCGUAUAUGUAUUUGAAGUCUUGACACUGCUAAAUCUUUUGUUUGUAAUUGGCAUGCCAUGUUGGAAGACAUAAUAGAGAAACUGUCUAUCCAUGCGUCCUUUACUUAAGAAAACUAAACUCUUCUCUGAAGUUAUGUGGUAUAGAUUUUUCCUAAAGGAAGCCAACCAGUUGAAAGAUCAAGCUAUGCAUUAACUCAUCACACUUUAAAUAAGUAAAUAAAUAAAUAACUCACCUAGUUCAUUGUUUGGAUGGUUUAUUGGAUGUGAGAUACUUCAUACUGUCCUGACACAGAGUUUAUUACCUAUGUAAGAGAAGGCACAUAUGGUUAGGUUUCAAGAGAUAUUCUAAUUGUUUCCUGUGGUGAUGUUUGAACUCUACAGUCAAAUUCAGAUGCAUUUAAUUUGGUAAGGUAGACAAUUGGUUAAAUGUUUGGUGUCAAAGUAAGAAAUACAUAGUGAAUUGAUGGAGAGGAAUGUUCUUAAAGUGGUCUAUACAGAUUGACCCUAAAAUCAACCUCACCUUUAUAUCAACCUCGUCUUUGAAAAGAUUGCAGCCCCAAGGACUUUGAUUAUUUUUCUUCAUGACCUCUCUGGGUACCUGAUAAUAGGAAUAGACACACGAAAAAAAACCUGAUAAUGUUACUCUGGUGUAAUCACAACUACUUCUGCUCUAUUAAAACUACCAUGCGAUAUGACCACUUUUACAGUCAUUUGUUAACUUUCUCUUUUAUCAUCAAAGUUGUACUGCACAUACUCAAAACUGACAGCUACAAUAGAGUGGCCCAUAUAUUCUCUGAGAUCAAGACAGAAACAUUACUCAUCAAAUUCUAAUCUAGUGUCACAUAGGAGAAAUACAACUAGCCAGUGAGACUCUCACUGCUAUCUGGCUCACAGAAACAGAUAGAGCAACUUCUCAUCUAUUAUUGAAGCAUUGCAGAAAUUGUGGUGCAGUGUAUGUGCCUACACUAUAAAGUAGCUAGGCUUGCACUUUUUAUGUGUGUUUGGCCAUAUAAUUCAUCUGGGCCUAGUAUCAACUCAGGACAUGGAUAUACUUUUUAAAGUAAUUGAGUAAUGUAUAUCUUUAAAAGCAAUCUCGUUAGAGCUUUAGGACAUUUCUAACAAAGCAAUGAAAUGUAGAGAUCUUAAUACAUUUCUAUGACUAUGAAUGUAAAUAAUAUAUGUUAUUUAAUAUUUUUCACAUGAAAAGAAAAUACUAACCCAGAAUGAAAAUGUAUCAAUAAUCCUGAGUAAAUUAAUCUAACAACAAUGAAUGUUUUGUGGUGCAUAUUUGGCAAAGCCUUCAAAUUUGUCAGACCUUUACAAAUCAUUUUCUUAUGUAGAGUCAUUGCUGUGUUUUGUAAUAAAUUUUGAAAACUGGCUUUAUGGAAUAAAAUAAAAAGCAAAUUUAUUAACUUUUUUGUAAAAGCUUUUCAAUGGUUUCACUAACUAUUUAAAAACAAAAAUAAAUAACCUUUGAGAUUGCUAUAUCAUUGAGAUUAUUUUAAAAGUCUCUUGAAAGUACUUAUACCUUAUUUGGUAUUAUAAAGAGGUUUCUAUAAAAAGUUACUUGUAUUUUGUGUCCCAAAUAAUUCAACAACAUAUUUAUUCAUUCUGCAAACAAACGAUAGCUGUUCCCUAAAGCAAUAUUUAUUAGAAAACUUAGGAAACCUGAGCAAAAUAUUGACUGAAGACAAACACAUUUAUAAUCAAUUAAAGAUAAAAAAGUUAACUUUUUACAAGAUGGACUAAAGAUUUAAAUGUAAGACCUCAAACUAUAAAAAUCUGAGAAGAAAACUGAGUAAAUACCCUUCUCGGUGUGAGCUUUGGCAAAAAAAAAAAAAAAAAAAAUUAUGGCUAAGAACCCAAAAGCAAUUGAAACAAAACCAAAAAUUGACAAGGGAGCCUAAUUCAACUAAAGAGCUUCAGCAUAGCAAAAAGAAUUAUGAACAGAAUAAACAGGCAGCCUACAGAAUGGGAGAAAAUGUUUCCAAGCUAUACAUCCAACAAAGGUCUAAUAGAGCCUAGAAGGAACUUAACAAGCAAAAAACAAUCCAAUUAAAAUGUGGUCAAAGGACAUGAACAGACACUUCUCAAAAUAAGACAUGCAGGUGGCCAACAAACAUGAAAAAAUGCUCAUGAACACUAAUCAUCAGAGAAAUACAAAUUAAAACCAAAAUAGAAUACCAUCUCACACCGGUCAGAAUGGCUAUUACCAAAAAGUCAAAAAAUAACAGAUGCUGGCAAAACUGCAGAGAAAAGGGAAUGCUUACACACUGUUUGUGGGAAUGCAAAUUGGUUCAACCACUGUGGAAAGCAGUUUGGAGAUUCCUCAAAGAUUUGAAAACAGACCUACCACUCGACACAGCAAUCCCAUUACUGGAUAUAUACUCAAAGGAAAAUACAUCUCUCAACCAAAAACAAACAUUCACUCAUAUGUCUUUGUCAGUGCUAUUCACAAUAGCAAAGACGCAGAAACAAUAUAGGGACCCAACAAUGGUGGACUGGAUUUUAAAAAUGUAGUACAUAUACACCAUGAAAUACUGUGUAGCCAUACAAAGAAUGAAAUAAUCUAUUUUGCAGCAACAUGGAGGCAACUGGAGGCCAUUAUCUUAAGAAAAUUAACUCAGGAACAGAAAAUUAAAUGCUAUAUGUUCUGAUAUAUAAAUGGAAGGUAAACAUUGAGUACAUGUGGACUUAAAGAUGGGAGCAAUAGAAACUAAGGACUACUAGAUAGGAGAAGGAGGGAGGUGAAUGGGCUGAAAAACAACCUAUUGGGUACUGUCUGGGUGGGAUCAUGUGUACCCCAAACUUCAGCAUCACACAGUAUACACAUAUACACACAUAUAUACACACAUAUGUAUAUACACAUAUAUGUAAUAUAUCAAUACACAUAUAUGUAAAUGUAUGUGUAUAUAUGUAAAUAUGUAAAUAUAUGUAUAUAUGUGUGUGUAAAUAUAUGUAUACAUGUAUAUGUGUGUAAAUAUAUGUAUGUAUACAUAUAUGUAUAUGUGUGAAUAUGUAUGUGUAUAUGUAAAUAUAUGUAUAUAUACAUAUGUAUACAUGUAAAUGUAUGUGUGUACGUGCAUAUGUAAACACACAUAUGCAUAUAUGUAAAUAUAUGCAUAUGUAAAUACAUAAAUGCAUAUUUAUGUAAAUACAUGUAAAUAUGCAAACACACAGAUGCAUGUUUAUGUAAAUAUAUGUAAAUACAUAAUGUGCAAAGCGCAUGUAUAUGUAAAUAUAUGUAAAUAUGCAUAUAUGUAAAUGUGCAUGUAUACACAUGUAUGCAUGUAAAUGUGUAUGGCUAUAAACAUACGCAUAUAUGUAAAUAUAUACGUAUAUGUAAAUAUAUGUAAAUAUAUUUACAUAUAUACAUAUUCACGUUAUGCAUAUAUGUAAAUAUAUUUACAUAUACACAUACAUAUUCACACAUAUACAUAUAUGUAUACAUACAUAUAUUUACACACAUAUACAUGUAUACAUAUAUUUACACACACAUAUACAUAUACAUUUACAUAUAUGUAAAUUGAUAUAUUACAUAUACGUAUAUGUAUAUAUUUACAUAUCUGUAUAUAGAUGUAUUUACAUAUGCAUAUAUGUAUAUAUUUACAUAUAUUUACAUGUAUACAUAUAUGCAUAUAUAUAUAAAUAUAAAUACAAACCUGUCCAUGUACCCUCUAAAUCCAAAAUAAAAGUGGGGUAAAAAGGCUUAACUUUUCACAGAUUAUCUUCAAAGUGACCACUAAUGGAUAUACUUCCACACACAGAAAAAUAAACCCAGAAAGAGGAAAUUGAAUGAAAGAAGAAAUGACGAAAGAGAAAAUGGUUAAAUCUAAACAAGUUGUGAGGCUGGCACGGUGUCUCACGCCUGUAAUCCCAUCACUUUGGGAGGCCGAGGUGGGAAGAUCUCUUGAGACCAGGAGUUUCAGUCCAGUCUGGCCAACAUGGUGACACUCUGUCUAUACUAAAAAUACAAAAAUUAGCCGAGUGUGGUGGUGUGUGCCUGUAGUCCCAGUUACUUGGGAGGCUGAGGCAGGAGACUCACUUGAACCCAGGAAGUGGUGGUUACAGUGAGCCAAGAUUGCACCACUGCGCUCCAGCCUGGGCGACAGAGUGAGACUCUGUCCCAAAAAUAAAUAAAUAAAUAAAUAAAUAAAUAAAUAAAUAAAUAAAUGUAAACAUGUGAGAUUUUAAAAUAUUGUAGUAAAGUUUGGAAUUGUUUAAAAGCAAAACUUAAUGAAAAGACUAGGAAAAAUAGAGGGAUGAAUGGUAGACGAUAUUUGAAUAAAUUCUGUCAUGUAAGGGAUGAGAAAAAUCAUGGGCGCACUCUAAAUUUGUGAAUUAAAUAUAAAAUUAAUAUGGAUGUUUAAUGUUAAGGACCUCGAUUAAAACGGAAUAAUAGAAUGCGGGAAGAAAAUUAAUAUGAAACCAAAGCAUGACAAUUUUUUAAAAUAGUAAAAUAAAUACAUAUAUUAUAAAAUGAGAAUUAUAAAUUGAUUAAAUUCAUUCAUUAGAAGACAUUAAGAAACUAGAGUCUUGAAAAUUAGAUGUGUGUGGCUUAUUAAGAGAAACCCCAAAAGCAAACUGACAGAUACAUUUGAAUCAUCAGGGUUGGAAGGCAAUAUGUAUCUGACAAACUAAACAAAUAGAAGAUAAUAAGAUAAUAUGUAAUAUUACAUAAAAUACAAUUUCACAUGCCAAGAAUCCAUAAUAAUAAAACUAAUGAUAACUAUAAUAUAAUAAGAGCCAACAUUUAUGAUAAAUACAUGGCAAUUAUAAAUUUGUACAAAGCUAAGAGCUUAUCUUCAAAAUAUAUAACAUGAAAUAGCAUUAAAAAAGUAUAAUAAAAACAAAAAAAAUUAAAAAAUGAAAUUUUAAAUGUGUUACCCUAUUUGAAGGUUUUAAGAAAGUUUUCUUAGAAUAUAAUAUAUUGUACAUAAAUAAGCAUAAAUAUAGG
rnacentral:lncRNA from 10 species